AACGAACGCUGGCGGCAUGCCUAACACAUGCAAGUCGAACGAGACCUUCGGGUCUAGUGGCGCACGGGUGCGUAACGCGUGGGAACCUGCCCUUAGGUUCGGAAUAACUCCCCGAAAGGGGUGCUAAUACCGGAUAAUGUCUUCGGACCAAAGAUUUAUCGCCUUUGGAUGGGCCCGCGUUGGAUUAGCUAGUUAGUAGGGUAAAAGCCUACCAAGGCGACGAUCCAUAGCUGGUCUGAGAGGAUGAUCAGCCACACUGGGACUGAGACACGGCCCAGACUCCUACGGGAGGCAGCAGUGGGGAAUAUUGGACAAUGGGCGAAAGCCUGAUCCAGCAAUGCCGCGUGAGUGAUGAAGGCCUUAGGGUUGUAAAGCUCUUUUACCCGGGAUGAUAAUGACAGUACCGGGAGAAUAAGCUCCGGCUAACUCCAU
rnacentral:rRNA from 1 species